rnacentral:misc_RNA from 1 species
CGCACAUUGCGCCCUUUAGUAUUCUAGAGGGCAUGCCUGUUCGAGCGUCAUUAUCACCUAUCAAGCCUGGCUUGUCGUUGGACGUUAUGCCGUCACAAGGCAGGUCCCAAAGAUAAUGGCGGUGUCAAGUGGACCCUCGAUGCAACGAGCUUUCAUUAGCACGCAUUUGGAGUUGGCCCUUUGACCCAGUCUGGUUAAACCAAUUUUUCUCAGGUUGACCUCGGAUCAGGUAGGAAUACCCGCUGAACUUAA